rnacentral:rRNA from 1 species
GCACGUAGUUAGCCGUGGCUUACGCAAGGUACCGUCGUACUGCGGGAUUAUUCAGCCCGCAGCUCUCUUCCCUCGCUUGUGAGGUUUACAUCCCGAAGGAUUUCCUCCCUCACGCGGCGUUGCUGGGUCAGGCUUUCGCCCAUUGCCCAAAAUUCCCCACUGCUGCCUCCCGUAGGAGUCUGGCCCGUGUGUCAGUGCCAGUGUGGCUGGCCGUCCUCUCAGACCAGCUACAGAUCGCAGCCUUGGUGAGCCAUUACCUCACCAACUAGCUAAUCUGCCGCAGGCUCCUCUUCAGGCGCGAGGUCUUACGAUCCCCCGCUUUAACAACUAAUCACCAUUAGGUGCCGCUGCAUUAUGCGGUAUUAGCCCAAGUUUCCCUGGGUUAUUCCCCACCCGAAGGCAGAUUACCCACGUGUUACUCACCCGGACGCCACUCUACUUACCCCCGAAGGGGCUUUCGCGUUCGACUUGCAUGUGUUAGGCACGCCGCCAGCGUUGGUU